GGUCUCCUACGGGGGGCAGCAGUGGGGAAUAUUGCACAAUGGGGGAAACCCUGAUGCAGCGACGCCGCGUGAAGGAAGAAGUAUUUCGGUAUGUAAACUUCUAUCAGCAGGGAAGAAAUGACGGUACCUGACUAAGAAGCCCCGGCUAACUACGUGCCAGCAGCCGCGGUAAUACGUAGGGGGCAAGCGUUAUCCGGAUUUACUGGGUGUAAAGGGAGCGUAGACGGUUACGCAAGUCUGGAGUGAAAGGCGGGGGCCCAACCCCCGGACGGCUUUGGAAACUGUAUAACUGGAGUGCAGGAGAG
rnacentral:rRNA from 1 species